UGAUAAUCUGAAUGAACAAGAGGAGCUGGCAGUUGAAGGGGCACAAUUCGCGUGUCUAGCAUAUAUUCUCAAGGGUUGUUGAAUUCUCUAACACAGGCAUUGCAAAGCUCCGGCGUAGAUCUGUCACAAGCCAGCAUUUCAGUGUAGAUUGAUCUCGGCAAGCGAGCAAAUAGCAGGCCAUCAACCACAAUAUCUAGUGCUAAGGAUCAUGACGACCCCUCAUCAAGCAACCGUGCAGUGGCCCACUCGAGGGUGGCUAGCAGUGGGGAGGACUCACAUCAACAAGCUCAGAAGAGGCUGAGGACAGCUAACAGCUAAGCUAGUAUUUGCAAUCCUCUUCUUCCUUCAUUUUUAUUUAAUUUAUUUGUUUUCGGGUGAGAUGGCCUAGUUAAUACACUAUAAGUUCGGUGUAUAUGCUUUGCUUUGACGGCUUGGGGGGACGAUAGGAUAUCUCACAAACCCUUAGGUAUCUAUUCUUUUAUUCGUGACA